CUCCAGUCUGUGAAAGGCUUUUAUUUAGCAUGUGUGUCAAUGCUCUACUGCAUGAAACUGGAUUCUGUGAGUCACUGGGCAUGAAACAUCUCCAUGUCUUUCUAGUCAACUAUGAAGACUUAUAUGGCGGUCAGGAGGUCUUCUCACAGAGGGGGUCUCAAGGCAUUAGGCACUAAACAAAUACAGAAAACAAAACGAUGGCCCCUGCCCCGGUGACCUGAUAAUCUAAGUCAAGGUCCAUAGAGGUGAUCCCUGUUGCCCUGUGCUUUGUGCCAUCCUUUACACCGACACAAAGUGGUCUCAUGGUGACAUCUCCGAAUGUGAAGGUGUGUGUGCGUGGGAAGGGGUCGGGUCAGCAUGGAUGAGGGUUGUGCAGAGCAGAAAUGCCUUGAAAGCCCCCAGCACCAGAUCAUACCUGCUUAGUUCACCCUAGGGUGGAUGCUGCAGACUCUAGCCUUGUGCAGCAUCUUCCUACCUGCCUAGGGUUUUGCCUGCCAGAGGCUGGGACAUCCCACUGCAGAUGAAUGACUCAUCCCCACAAUGAAAGUUGAUGAACUUCCCAAAUGAGAAGGUUCUCCCUGUUUACACUGCACAGCCACCACCACCGGGGAUGUGUAUGGUCCUGGCUCUCUCUGUAUAUUCUGAAGGAAUAUAUUCUGUCUCUGCCUGGGAGAAGACAACUCCCACAUCUCCUUCCUCGCCAUGCUCCACCCCACCCAUCUCAAAGCAUCUCCUAGAUUCAUAGCUGUUAGGGUUGGAAGGGACCUCAGUAGGUCAAAUCCGACCCCCUGCCCUGGGCAGGAAAGAGUGCUAGGGUCAAUAGACCCCAGCUAGGUGCUUGUCCAGUCUCCUCUUGAAGACCCCCAAGAUCAGAGAGAGCACCACCUCCCUUGGAAGUCCAUUCCAGAUUUUGGCAACCCUCACGGCAUGGGUGCAUCAUGCAGCAGAACUCAUGUACAGCUCUGGCAGGUUUGCCGCUCAUCUCCUUCCACUGGUUCCUGGCGGCAGGGAUCCAACAGGAGACUUCUUGCUAGCUCCAGAGAAUCAGGACAGCCAUCCAAACCUGGAAAGCAACGCAAGGCCUCCAAUCACACAUCGUCCACUAGCAGCAAAGACUCUUCUGCUCUGGAAACCUUGCCUUUGGAGAGAGACAGGAGAAUCACAGAAAAUGAGGGCUGGAAGGGACCUCAGGAGGCCACAUCUAGUCCAACCCCCUGCUCGAAGCAGGACCAGCCCCACCUACAUCAUCCCAGCCAAGGCUUUGUCUAGACGGGUCUUAAAAAUCUCCAAGGAUGGAAAGUCCACAACCUCUCUGGGUAACCUGUUCCUGUGCUUUACUACCCUCCUUGUAGGAGAACUAUUUCCAUCCCCUUCACUCUCUGUCCUGGGACAGGUUUGGUCCAUGGCAUUGUAAAGCCUAAAGAGCAUGCACGCUAGGUUAGGCCUGAUGAGAGAUUUGGACCUUUCUCUAUGCAUCAGAGACUGAAACCAGCCUGCACAGAUGUCACCAUCCUGCUCCAGUAUUGUGUCACCUUUCCUAGCAUAAAUGCUGAUGCAAGGUGCUGGGCUGAAGACUCGGGUCCCUUCUCUUUAAGUGAAUUUGAAUUUCUCCUACCUGGAGAAAGAAAUGCUUCUAAUCAACAGAAGAGUUGGAUUUUCCCUUUGAGACAGCGCAAUUGUUUCCUUUUGUUUUUACAGGAAGUUAUUGCUAGUGGUCUUUUCUCCAGAAAUGAUCAACCCAAACCUACAUCCCAAACUAAUAAAUGUUCCUUUUAUUACUCA
rnacentral:lncRNA from 1 species